ACUAAGUCGCAAAUGUGAAAUAACCUAAUUCCUUUUCUCGGUCUCCACUCUCUAGACCGCCGCUCAUCCUCUCACUCACUCUCUUUCUCUCUCUUCUCAUUCUCUAUUUCUCUUAGUCACUUACAAUCUACAGAUCUGAGAUAUCCAUCAUCUCCUCUUUGGGUCUUUGAUCUCAUACUACUAUUCUCCAUCAUCUCCUCAACACUCACUACUUACCGUCGUCACCGGCCGUUCACCACUUCGUCAGAGUUUUCAAGGGAUUGUAUAUGGACUUUCAAGUGGUGGGGAAAUGCAUGAUUCUUCUGCCACAACUCUUCCGGCUGGUGUAAAGUUGAUACUUACUUGAAGUUUCAAGUUAAAUUGGAGGAUGGUGUACCAGAUUUUCAAAGAUCAAGCUUGAAAUUCCUAAAGCUUUUUUAUUUUAUCUUGUGUAAUGGAGUGGAUUAUUUAUUGUUUAUUUAGUUGAUUAAUUAGUUACAACCGACUCGUGAGGCGUUGAAUACUUUAUUUAUACAACAUCUCGUCAUAUAUUAUUCAGUCAUCAUAAACA